CCGGGGGGGCCGUGGCUGGCCUGGAGCUGGGGUGGCAGAGUCUCUCUCCUGGUUUUGCUCUCACAGAGCGUGACAUCUCCCUGGAGCAAGGUGGGACCACUGCUGAGCUCACAUCAGUCACUGUACUUCCUAGGAAGUUUUCUGAUACAACGUCAUUUCCUGUAAGUUGGGAUUUUUGCACACAGGACAAAACAAAGAUGACAGCUCAUCUCUCUUGACCCUGUAGAUGUGAUGGCUGGAGCUAGAGUGACCAUCUGGAACCACCUGGUGAACUUGAGCUUGAGACUCUAACACUGCAGAGUGUCAUACCAACUGUGAUGACCUACUCAGACUUCUAAGUAAGACAGCAAUAAACUUCAUUCUGAUUUAAC
rnacentral:lncRNA from 1 species